GAUGAACGCUAGCGGCAGGCCUAACACAUGCAAGUCGAGGGGCAGCGGGUAAGUAGCUUGCUACUUAUGCCGGCGACCGGCGGACGGGUGCGUAACGCGUAUGUAACCUACCUUUGACAGGGGGAUAACAUCGAGAAAUUGGUACUAAUACCCCAUAACAUCACCGGAGGCAUCUUCGGUGGUUGAAAACUCAGGUGGUCAGAGAUGGACAUGCGUUGUAUUAGCUAGUUGGUGAGGUAACGGCUCACCAAGGCGACGAUACAUAGGGGGACUGAGAGGUCAGCCCCCCACACUGGUACUGAGACACGGACCAG
rnacentral:rRNA from 1 species